UUUGCGACAUCGACCUGCUGGAUUUGGGCAUACAGUUUGCCAACCACUUCCGCGAUCGACGGAUGCCAGCUGACGGCGCGAUUGACCGCCUGGGGGAGGGUCAGUUCGCCGGGAGCGGCACUGUCGCCACUCAGCGGCAUCGGGCCAUCCAGCGCGGGCAAUUCCUGCUGUUCAACCCACUGCUGUGGGGCGAUGCGGGGCGUCUCCCCGGCAGCCAUGGCCGGAGCAGCGCACAGGUUUCCCGCCAGCCACCAGAAAGCAAGCUGUCGUGUUCCCAUUUUUCUUCCCUAAUUGAGCGUUGUUUUUUGCCCCAGGCGAACGUGCGCCCGGGGUCGU
rnacentral:sRNA from 1 species